rnacentral:rRNA from 1 species
UACGUAGGUGACAAGCGUUGUCCGGAUUUACUGGGCGUAAAGAGCGCGCAGGCGGUCGAUCAAGUCGAGUGUGAAAGCCCCCGGCUCAACUGGGGAGGGUCAUUCGAUACUGAUCGACUCGAAGGCAGGAGAGGGUAGUGGAAUUCCCGGUGUAGUGGUGAAAUGCGUAGAUAUCGGGAGGAACACCAGUGGCGAAGGCGACUACCUGCCUGUUCUUGACGCUGAGGCGCGAA